rnacentral:ncRNA from 2 species
AAUGACUGCUAGGGGAGCCUUUGUUAGGCUGAGACACAUCAUUGAUGUAAACCCUUUGAACCUGAUCUAGUUAAUACUAGCGGAGGGAAGCAGCUGGGACCCCUA